ensembl:lncRNA
AAACAAUGAAGAACAGAGGCAGAAGAGUUUGCCAGAUCGGUGCAGAUAAAGAACAGGUUGCACAAAACCAGUCAGAAUAAAACAACAAAGACUAAAAAACCAAAACAGUGAUACUUCUUGAUGUUCUUUUUGUUUCAGAAUAGUGAGGAAUCCUGUGAAAAUAAAAGAGCUCUGAGAACAGCCACAAGACAAAACAACUGGAUCGAGAGGAAAGCUAUGAGAACAGUCAAACAGAAAUACAACUGAAUGGAGAUGUAGAAUAAAAGCUGCAUUAGGAAGAACCA